rnacentral:rRNA from 1 species
GGGAGACCGCCUGGGAAUACCAGGUGCUGUAAGCCUUUUC